CCUGUUCGCAUUUGUGGACAAGGCAAUGUGGUGUAUUGGUGUGUGCCUAGUACCGUUUGUCUACUCAAAGUCCAACUACGAUUGUGGCUUGGAUUUGUUCCUUAGAGGGUGAAAGACCCGUAUGAGUAGAUAUUAUUGCAUACAAAAACGGGACCUAGUAGUACGCAUCAAAGAGUCGGAUUGCUUGAGAAUGCAGUCCAAAGAUGGGUGGUAAACUCCAUCCAAGGCUAAAUACUGGCACGAGUCCGAUAGUAAACAAGUACCGUGAGGGAAAGUUGAAAAGUACUCUGAAGAGAGAGUAAAUAGUACGUGAAGCCGCCUGUAGGGAAGCUGGUGGAGUCAAGCUUCUUGCCUUUUGGUUUGGUAUGGGGAUAAUUAUCUGAAUAUGGAGGUUUGUUGCCUGUAAACUGCUGAGUGAACUUGUUUGCUCGAAGUCUAACGGGUAGUUUGCUUUGAAUUCCUCCUAUCUUCAUGUCCCUUGUCCUAUACUAAUUGGCAUCCAUCACAGUCGAUGCAUGCUUUGCACUAAAAGGUCUAACUGUGCUAAGGCAAGCCUUUGGCUUACUUAGUACAGAACGGCAGGUCGAGUCAUGGCGUUUCACGCUCGUGUCUCUUUGUAUCGUAUUAUACCGCCGACCUUUUAGUUUAUUUGUAUUACGUGCAUUGUUUCUCUUAUAGGUACUGCUUAAUGGUGUGCCGCUUAG
rnacentral:rRNA from 1 species